UUAAUGGGCCCCGAAGUGAGCAUAAAAUCUUAGCAAUUCCCAAAUUUAUCAUAAAAACUAGUUUGUGGCCUUGUACGGCCUUAAGGGUUCCGUUUCGGGUACAAGUAAAGCAUUUUAAGUUUAAUGGCAAUUAACCUUUCGCGCUAGGAGGAAAUUAAAAUCAUGAGCCCGAAAUAACCCGCGUAUGUGGCUCUACAUAAAUCUACAACCCCUCUGGCUACAAGGGGAACUGGAGGUUGGGUUGGCUUCGGUCCUGAGAGAUUUGGUUCCGCCUUUGGAGAGGAAAUUUCCAUCAUCUUUAUCUGACUCGCACUCGCAGUCGCACACGUUUCUAAAUUCCCCGAUGGCUGGUCGACGACGACUCCUGUUGAUAUUUGUUUUGCCUACCAUUCUGGAGCAAGCGGCGCAAACAAGGCGAAAGGCAAAUCUAAUUUCUGGAGCACAAUUCGGAAAAGAUUACGCAACAAAAAAAUGGCCGCCAGAGAGACAGAGAAAAAACAGCUAAAGCCAAAGAAAAAUCAAGAAACAUCUGACAGCCCCCCCGCCCAUUCCCUGAAACGUAUGCAAUGCAUGUGUGUGGCAUAAAUCAAAGCUAGACAAUUUUGGCUGGGGGAUAACAUGAGGAGCGAAAUAGCAAAAACAAGAAGGGAAUGCUGGGAUUGAGAACCGAAGCUUUGGAUACUCUAUGGGUGUAGUUAAUAUUCCGCUCAUCCGAAAGUGCUGAUUGAUUAUAUGGACAAUGUAUGUAUGUCCUUAUAGUAGAUCAUAAUACUGCGGAAUAUGGUUUGCCGGGUCAGCUAGUAUACCUAUUAAAUGCAUAUAAAUAUAGGACACUCCUA
rnacentral:sRNA from 1 species